UGGGGAAUCUUGCGCAAUGGGCGAAAGCCUGACGCAGCCAUGCCGCGUGAAUGAUGAAGGUCUUAGGAUUGUAAAAUUCUUUCACCGGGGACGAUAAUGACGGUACCCGGAGAAGAAGCCCCGGCUAACUUCGUGCCAGCAGCCGCGGUAAUACGAAGGGGGCUAGCGUUGCUCGGAAUUACUGGGCGUAAAGGGAGCGUAGGCGGACAUUUAAGUCAGGGGUGAAAUCCCGGGGCUCAACCUCGGAACUGCCUUUGAUACUGGGUGUCUUGAGUGUGAUAGAGGUAUGUGGAACUCCGAGUGUAGAGGUGAAAUUCGUAGAUAUUCGGAAGAACACCAGUGGCGAAGGCGACAUACUGGAUCAUUACUGACGCUGAGGCUCGAAAGCGUGGGGAGCAAACAGGUUAGAUACCCUGGUAGUCCACGCCGUAAACGAUGAUUGCUAGUUGUCGGGGGUGUUUACACCUCGUGACGAGCUAACGCAUUAAGCAAUCCGCCUGGGGAGUACGGUCGCAAGAUUAAAACUCAAAGGAAUUGACGGGGUCAUAGCUGUUUCCU
rnacentral:rRNA from 1 species